GCGUAAUAUAUAUUUGAGGCACUAAAUAAAAUGCAGCGCUCCAUAAGUCUAUCUUUACAACAGACCAUGCAGGAUCUAUUCAAAGCUGCAGAGGCCUCGGAGUUUCUUGAACCCUUUGUUGACAUGACCGGCUG
rnacentral:ribozyme from 1 species